AUACUUACCUGACGCGAGAGGCACCUUGAUCAACUAGGAGGUCCUCUCAGGAUGAGGCCCUUUCAUUGCACUUCGACUGGGUUGACUCCUGCGAUUACCCCUAACGUGGGUAACUCGAGCGUAUAAUUUCUGGUAGUGGGGACCUGCGUUCGCGCUCGUCCCCU
rnacentral:snRNA from 1 species